UACACUCCUGCGGGAGGCAGCAGUGGGGAAUAUUGCACAAUGGGCGCAAGCCUGAUGCAGCCAUGCCGCGUGUAUGAAGAAGGCCUUCGGGUUGUAAAGUACUUUCAGCGGGGAGGAAGGCGAUAAGGUUAAUAACCUUGUUGAUUGACGUUACCCGCAGAAGAAGCACCGGCUAACUCCGUGCCAGCAGCCGCGGUAAUACGGAGGGUGCAAGCGUUAAUCGGAAUUACUGGGCGUAAAGCGCACGCAGGCGGUCUGUCAAGUCGGAUGUGAAAUCCCCGGGCUCAACCUGGGAACUGCAUUCGAAACUGGCAGGCUAGAGUCUUGUAGAGGGGGGUAGAAUUCCAGGUGUAGCGGUGAAAUGCGUAGAGAUCUGGAGGAAUACCGGUGGCGAAGGCGGCCCCCUGGACAAAGACUGACGCUCAGGUGCGAAAGCGUGGGGAGCAAACAGGAUUAGAUACCCCUGUAGUCCCAUGAU
rnacentral:rRNA from 1 species